AUUGAACGCUGGCGGCAGGCCUAACACAUGCAAGUCGAACGAGUGGCGGACGGGUGAGGAAUGUUUGGGAAACUGUCCGUUGGAGGGGGAUAACUACUGGAAACGGUAGCUAAUACCGCAUACCAUCGGAUGUGCCCAGGUGUGAUUAGCUAGUAGGUGGGGUAACGGCUCACCUAGGCGAGGAUCCCUAGCUGGUCUGAGAGGAUGACCAGCCACACUGGAACUGAGACACGGUCCAGACGCCUACGGGAGGCAGCAGUGGGGAAUAUUGCACAAUGGGCGCAAGCCUGAUGCAGCCAUGCCGCGUGUAUGAAGAAGGCCUUCGGGUUGUAAAGUACUUUCAGCGGGGAGGCGUUACUCGCAGAAGAAGCACCGGCUAACUCCGUGCCAGCAGCCGCGGUAAUAC
rnacentral:rRNA from 1 species